AGUUCUGUCUCCCGCGCGCCCGCCUCCGCCUCUGCCUAGCUGAGUCAGCCCGUGCGGUAGCGCCAGGCACACGCGGUAGAACAUCUGUAGGGCUGCAAAGCUGCACCUCCGCGUCAGUUCUCACGGCGAGCGCCGCCUUCAGCCCAAGUUCUCAAAGCUCUCGGGGCUACGUAGUCUACCCUCCCCGGUGACCCGGCGAGAUCCCUAGCCGCUCCUCCGGCCGCUCUGCUCUCCGCAUCCCUCGCGGGAAUGACCCCCUUUACCCGGGACUCCCAGAGCGCACUGUAUGGUAGGGCACAGUGGCGAGUCACCCUGUCCCCUGAGGCCUCUUGAGCAGUCGCCGAUCUCUGCUUCCCGCGUCGCUGCGAUCGCCUUUCCCGUAGCUGAAUCACACUGACCCAUCGGAAACGGUUCUGCCCUCCCUGGGGUCCACCUUGUCAUCCUUGACUAAUAUUUAAUCAACUAACAUUUACCAAGUUCUCGCUGGCACGAGUUCUAGGAGCUACUUUUUCAUUUUUCAGUUUCUCCAUAAAUGCAGUGGGUCCUUUAGGCAAACCUGAAAUCGGAAAUAUUAAUCUUACCAAUGUAAUCUUAGCAAAUGUAAAUAAAAAGGACUGUGCUAUACUGGGCUAAAAAUUCUCAUCCUGCUAUAGAAAUAUACGUGGAAUUUUCAGAUUACGUGGAAUCCUUUAAAGACCGCAUUCGGCCUUCUGGGUCUACAGCUCUCUUUUUUACCCCUAAAAAUAAGGUCUUGGAUUUUUUGCAGACCAUUAGUCGAGUCACUCUUUUAAAAUGUGGGAAAAUAGUAUUUUGUGGUAUUUACUUAGCUGCUCUUGUGUGAUAAGGAGCUCAUUUCUGAUAAAAAUAGGUUUUGAGAGAACCUUUUGACAGGUGAGCCAUUUUGCACCUUGAAGUGGAGGAGUAGGACUGACCAACACAGCAGGAGCUUUAAGUGGCCGUUUUCCUUAUUUAUUUCUUAAAAUGAAGAUUAUGAUAUGAAUUGCCAUGCUUUCAGUAAUCACAUUUAAGGAAGUCUAUUGCUAGCAUGACCCUGAAUGAGUCAAGCACCCAUUAUAAAAACAUAUAUCAUCUGAGUGAUACCAUAUCAUACACAUCUAUUAAAUAGUGAGAAAACUUUUAUUUUUCAUAGUUUGGAGGUGAACUCAGUCAUGCAGAAAAUUCAAACUCAGAAUGGGGAGAAAGCAAGCAAGGGAACUGCCAAGAGUAUGAUAUAUUUAGUCCUAACAAAAAUGUGACUUGGGAGGAAAGGGAUAGUUAAAAUUAUGGACAGUCUUACCCUGAACUGUCUGUCUAAAGGAGAUGAAUUGUCUUUCUUUUUUAUCUAAAUAUUUAUGAAAAAUACCAAAAGUACUGGAAAGUACAUUUUUAAGGCUCGUUUCACAUUUAUUUAAAUUAGACCAAUACUGAAAUGAACCCCAAAUGCUUAUAUUUUUUGCAAACCUAAGUGUGACAUCUACUGUCAUGUUGUGUUGGCAACGCAUCCCAAGAUUGAAGAUCUUUUUCUCUUUUUUAGACCUAGUCAGUUGUUUUCAGGACUUUCUACUUAAACAUGUUGCCAUCAUUUGAAAUUUAAAAUGUUAAAUAAAUACACUUCUUCUCUAAUA
rnacentral:lncRNA from 1 species